CGCGCUCCAGCCGCGGCCAAUCCCGGUGCCGGCGCGCCCUCUGCCGGCCGCUCCCGGAGGCGCCGGCUUCCUCGCAGUCCGGGACACCUGUUCCCCGGUCCGCCCCACCCUGCGGCCCUUCCCUAGGCGACGGUUCUGUCUCAACGCGGACAGAAAAGGGGGGGAAAGUGAGAAUCACGAGGCAAGGCCGGGAAGGAUGCAGAAAUGACCGCCCUCCCACGGGCUGUUUAGGACCGAGGAACCUACGUUGCAGUCUUAAUCCCCACACCUGUGAAUUGCAACCGUGUUUGGAAAUAGGGUUGGCAGGCGUGAUCAAGUUCAGGGGGUGUCACUAGGGUGGCCCCUCACCCAGUGUGACUGGAAACUUCCAUGUAGAGGCAGCCGCGGAGGGAGGGUGCACCAUGAGGACGGGCCAACGCCCUGGUGCCACAAGCUGCAAGGAGCACCUGGGGCCAUCAGCAGCUGGAAGACGGAAGUGGCUUCUUCGGAGAGAGGACAGCCUUGCUGACAUCUGGAUUUCAGACUUCCCUCCUACAGAACCAACAUUGGUGCCCUCCGAAUGAUGACCCUCUGAGAAAGAAAUGAGAAAACAAUGAGCUGAAUCACAGGACAGCCUCCAAAGCCAUGGAAAGUCUACAGCAGGGUCUCUGGAGAGUUCUACCCGAAUGUCUGAAUUUUGAUCUUGGGGAUUGGGUGUAAUCCCAGAAGGUGGGAAAGAAAUGUGACUUGCCAUUAAGGUACGAUCUGAUCAAUUGUAUUCAAAUCAGUUCUCAAGAGAGACACUUGUUUUUAAAAAAGAUGU